rnacentral:tRNA from 25 species
GCGGAAGUGGCUCAGUGGUAGAGCAUCGCCUUGCCAAGGCGAGGGUCGCGGGUUCAAAUCCCGUCUUCCGCUCCA